rnacentral:lncRNA from 1 species
AGAGGGAGAAGUCCUUUUGGUAGAUUCAUGGACGAUAACAUCUCGUUUGCUUUUUGCUUGCACAUUGAUGCGCCAUUAACGAUCUCAGCUCCUUCUCUUUGGUUGGUUAUGGUUUCUUGAGACGCCAUUGGAUUUGAUUCUAUGAGGUUUGUGAUAUGAGAUUUGCGAUUUGUGAUAUGUGACUUGAAAGAUUGGUUAAUGGUUUUUAUAGGUAGAGAAUAUUUCUGGAUGAAGUUACGGAAUUUGCGGCCCGAUAUGCAUUAGUGCUGUCAAGCCUUAUCGGAUUAGACGACUGUUUUUUUACCAAUCAGAUUUUUAAAAACCGUUAUCAUUCUAAAUUUGUAAGAGCCAUUUUUUCUUAUUGUUUCCCCCUCUUUUUAAUUAUUUUCUAAAUCUUAAUAAAUGUGACUUUGAAAACAAUAAGUUUCUAUUUUCUAUUCUUUUAUUGAAAUAUCUUUUUGUGACACCCAUCACCUCCUAUCUGGUCACCGUUGAACCAUCUAACACCCUAGUUCCGGUUUAAGCAAAGAAUCUAAAAACUAAACAAACAAUGACAGACUCGAUUUUACACAGACGAAACACAUUAGAAAUAAAUUAUACUUAUUCGAGGUCCUAAGCCGUGUAAGAGAAGUUCGGGAAAAGACUUAAAUAUCAUAUACUCGUCAGUCUCACCUGAAAUGGGAAGAGAGAGGGGUGAGUAACGGGGAAGUCACACAAGUUUUGUUGAUUUGUUUUCAGAUAGGUUCUGUUUUACAUAUGGUGGUACACGCAUAUCACAGCAACAUCAUCCAAGAUUUCGUGUGUGUGUGUAUUUGAGGUCGAUGACUCAAUAUGUUUGAUCAGAUUGUGGCAUGGCCGAUGGUAAAGAAGAACCAACUAUCAUGUUCGAGGACGAAGUAUAUUCUGCCCAAGAUCUUUAUCACCCACGGAUUGCGGAAAAUUGGAGAGGUCCAAGGGACCUUCACUAAUGUCCAAAUCAGGGGGAAUAAUGUGUGUUGUACUCUUUUUCCUUCACCAUUAUUUUGUCCCAAUUGGAUUUUCCUGGUAAGGUUUUAAUGAGGCAACAUUAAAGCACAUUACAAGCUCUAAAUGGUUAUGACAUCAAAGGGGGAGUGUUAUGAACCAUAUUGUGGAUGACUCAUAACCAAGAGAUUAUGAUUUGUAAUCUUUCCAUUAAUCUAUGACGGUGUAAUCUUCUAUAUAAGGAACCUCUACGUUAUUUUUAUAACAGUUUUCAACGUUUGUUUAUUCUUCUGUUCACCUACACCGUAUAGAAAAGAGCACAAAUUAAUAGAGCAUUUCGUGUUCAAUAAAACAAAGAACAGAGCAAUACCAGACAAAAAAAUAUUGUGGAGAACAAAGCAAAGCAAGACCUUUGAAAAUUUAGUUUCAUCGUCAAUAUAUAAUACUGUCUGCAAUAUUUCAUAAACCUUGGAGUUAACAAAUUGUACUUUUCAUAUCAAAUAAAGCGAUGUUUCAUAAACGCGCAGUAACCAAAAUUGAAUUUCAAAUGUUCAUUGUUAGUAGGAUUACAUAUUUAUGGAAUAAAAGAAGGGAAACAAUACAUAGCUAUAUAUAGUUUAUGAAACAAAGUUUUAAGACCACACAUAUAUAUCACUUCUCCUCUUCCUCAAACGCAGAGACGGGAAAAGAACGUGACAAACCCGAGCGACCAGCAAAGGUGAUUUUCGAGGUAUCUUGAUCAUCAAUAUAAAUCUCAGUGAUCGUAACCCAAAUGAAAAGCUCUUUGCUCUUGAUUCCUGUGAGACCACGCAUCCUACGGUUCUCAACGAAAGCAGUGACCUCCGCAUCAUACGAUACGUUUUUGCCGAUGGCCUUAAACUGGUGCUGAACAUUGUUGUUCAUCUUGAUCCAUAUAUAACCGGUUGAUUUGUUGUAACCGAUCUCUGUCAUGUUGUCUAGAGGGAGAAGUCCUUUUGGUAGAUUCAUGGACGAUAACAUCUCGUUUGCUUUUUGCUUGCACAUUGAUGCGCCAUUAACGAUCUCAGCUCCUUCUCUUUGGUUGGUUAUGGUUUCUUGAGACGCCAUUGGAUUUGAUUCUAUGAGGUUUGUGAUAUGAGAUUUGCGAUUUGUGAUAUGUGACUUGAAAGAUUGGUUAAUGGUUUUUAUAGGUAGAGAAUAUUUCUGGAUGAAGUUACGGAAUUUGCGGCCCGAUAUGCAUUAGUGCUGUCAAGCCUUAUCGGAUUAGACGACUGUUUUUUUACCAAUCAGAUUUUUAAAAACCGUUAUCAUUCUAAAUUUGUAAGAGCCAUUUUU